CCUACGUGAGGCAGCAGUGGGGAAUAUUGCACAAUGGGGUAAACCCUGAUGCAGCGACGCCGCGUGAGUGAAGAAGUAAUUCUUUAUGUACAGCCCUAUCUGCAGGGAAGCAAAUGACGGUACCUGUGUAAGAAGCCCCGGCUAACUACGUGCCAGCAGCCGCGGUAAUACUUAGGGGGCAAGCGUUAUUCGGAUUUACUGGGUGUAAGGGAGCGUAUACGGCAGUGCAAGUCUGGAGUGAAGGUAUGGGGCUCAAACCCCGGACUGCUCUGGAAACUGUACGGCUGGAGUGCAGGAGAGGUAAGUGGAAUGCCUGGUGUAGCGGUGAAAUGCGUAGAUAUUAGGAGGAACACCAGUGGCGAAGGCGGCUUACUGGACUGUAACUGACGUUGAGGCUCGAAAGCGUGGGGAGCAAACAGGAUUAGAUACCCUUGUAGUC
rnacentral:rRNA from 1 species